AUUGAACGCUGGCGGCAGGCCUAACACAUGCAAGUCGAGCGGAGCGGCGGACGGGUGAGUAAUGCCUAGGAAUCUGCCUGGUCGUGGGGGAUAACGUCCGGAAACGGGCGCUAAUACCGCAUACUAUCAGAUGAGCCUAGGUCGGAUUAGCUAGUUGGUGGGGUAAAGGCCUACCAAGGCGACGAUCCGUAACUGGUCGGAGAGGAUGAUCAGUCAGACUGGAACUGAGACACGGUCCAGACUGCUACGGGAGGCAGCAGUGGGGAAUAUUGGACAAUGGGAGAAAGCCUGAUCCAGCAAUGCCGCGUGUGUGAAGAAGGUAUUCGGAUGGUAAAGCACUUUAAGUUGGGAGGCGGUAGCAACAGAAUAAGCACCGGCUAACUACGUGCCAGCAGCCGCGGUAAUAC
rnacentral:rRNA from 1 species